rnacentral:rRNA from 1 species
GACGAACGCUGGCGGCAUGCCUAACACAUGCAAGUCGAACGGAGAUUAUUUCGGUAAUCUUAGUGGCGAACGGGUGAGUAACGCGUGGGCAACCUGCCCUCUAGAUGGGGACAACAUCCCGAAAGGGGUGCUAAUACCGAAUGUGACAGCAAUCUCGCAUGAGGAUGCUGUGAAAGAUGGCCUCUAUUUAUAAGCUAUCGCUAGAGGAUGGGCCUGCGUCUGAUUAGCUAGUUGGUGGGGUAACGGCCUACCAAGGCGAUGAUCAGUAGCCGGUCUGAGAGGAUGAACGGCCACAUUGGGACUGAGACACGGCCCAGACUCCUACGGGAGGCAGCAGUGGGGAAUCUUCCGCAAUGGGCGAAAGCCUGACGGAGCAAUGCCGCGUGAGUGAUGAAGGAAUUCGUUCCGUAAAGCUCUUUUGUUUAUGACGAAUGCGCAGAUUGUGAACAAUGAUCUGUAAUGACGGUAGUAAACGAAUAAGCCACGGCUAACUACGUG